AAACCCGACACGUCUUCUUCCCCUCCUCCGCCAUGUCGUCUGCAGGAGUCCUCCCCGAGCAGAGUAAGGUGAGCUGAGGGCAUCACCUUCUUGACUACUGCUGUAGGCGCUGCGCUGACUGCGGCUGUUGCACUGGUUGUUCCUCCGGUGGUGGCGGCUGCAGCUGCUGCUGCUUUCUAACUGCUGUGUGCUUAUUGUUGUGCAUCCAGACCUUUAAGACUUGUCUUCUCACGCCAAUCUCGGCGCAGAAUUGCUCGACCAUUGCAUCAUCUUGCCGCUGAAACCUCCACCCCACCCUCUCGGCGAAAGCCAACAUGUUCUCCUUCUGCUCCGCGGUGAACUUGGUCC
rnacentral:lncRNA from 1 species